GUGUCAGCAGCCGCGGUAAUACGUAGGUGGCGAGCGUUGUCCGGAAUCAUUGGGCGUAAAGAGCGCGUAGGUGGCUUGUCAGGUCCGGUGUGAAAUCCUGGGGCUCAACUCCAGGCGUGCAUCGGAAACCGGCUUGCUAGAGUCUGGGAGAGGAGAGUGGAAUUCCUGGUGUAGCGGUGAAAUGCGUAGAUAUCAGGAGGAACACCAGUAGCGAAGGCGGCUCUCUGGAACAGUACUGACACUGAGGCGCGAAAGCUAGGGGAGCGAACAGGAUUAGAAACCCUCGUAGUCC
rnacentral:rRNA from 1 species